rnacentral:rRNA from 1 species
UCCUACGGGAGGCAGCAGCUAAGAAUCUUCCGCAAUGGGCGAAAGCCUGACGGAGCGACGCCGCGUGAACGAAGAAGGCCGUGAGGUUGUAAAGUUCUUUUCGGGAGGGGGAAUGACCGUGGCAGGGAAUGGCCGCGGGAUGACGUGAAUCCCGGAACAAGCCCCGGCUAACUACGUGCCAGCAGCCGCGGUAACACGUAGGGGGCGAGCGUUGUUCGGAAUCAUUGGGCGUAAAGGGCGUGCAGGCGGCACUGCAAGUCCGGCGUGAAAGACCCCGGCCCAACCGGGGGGGUGCGCUGGAAACUGCGGUGCUUGAGUACAGGAGGGGAUGCCGGAAUUCCAGGUGUAGGGGUGAAAUCUGUAGAUAUCUGGAAGAACACCGAUGGCGAAGGCAGGCAUCUGGCCAUGUACUGACGCUGAGACGCGAAGGUGCGGGGAGCAAACAGGUUUAGAUACCCUGGUAGUCCGCACAGUAAACGAUGUGCACCAGGUGGCGGGGGUAGAACCCCCGGUACACGUAGUAACCGGUUAAGGCUUCCCGCC